rnacentral:ncRNA from 1 species
GACUUCAGGGCAGGGUGUGAUUCCCUACCGGCGGUACAGCCCGCGAGCCGAAAGGCAUGAUUCGGUUAGAUUCCGAAGCCGACAGUUAUAGUCUGGAUGGGAGAAGC